AUACUGACCUGGUAGGGGAGACACCAUGAUCAGGAAGUGGUUUUCCCAGGGCGAGGCUCACCCAUUGUGCUGCGGGUGUGCUGACCCUGCGAUUUCCCCAAAUGCAGGAAACCCGACUGCAUAAUUUAUGUUAUAUAUAUAUAUUAAUAGUUUUUUUUA